rnacentral:rRNA from 1 species
UACGUAGGGUGCAAGCGUUAAUCGGAAUUACUGGGCGUAAAGCGUGCGCAGGCGGUUAUGUAAGACAGAUGUGAAAUCCCCGGGCUCAACCUGGGAACUGCAUUUGUGACUGCAUAGCUAGAGUACGGUAGAGGGGGAUGGAAUUCCGCGUGUAGCAGUGAAAUGCGUAGAUAUGCGGAGGAACACCGAUGGCGAAGGCGGCAUCCUGGACCGACACUGACGCUGAGGAGCGAAAGCCAGGGGAGCAAACGGG